rnacentral:ribozyme from 1 species
ACUGCUCGGAAGACAACCUCCUCGUGGUGAGCAGUGGGCAACAUCGUUGCGGUCAACAACCGCAACAUGGCUAAGUCUUCA